AAGUGUGAAGGGAAUUUCCUUCGUUUGUAGGCACAAACACCUUCACCACACGAUUUAUGAGGCCAUCUGUAAAGUGAACUUAUUAUUUUGUCUUAAAUGUAGAGUAAAGCACUUCAACAGAAGUCUACCAAUCAAAGAUCCUUAAACAUCAUAUUGUGUAACUCUAUCCUCUACGCUGGAUUCUGAAGACUGCAAAUGAAGAUGUUGCAUGCUGAGAUUAUUCAAAUGUUCCACACAAAGAUGAUCAGAAGGUCUUCAGAGGAAGAGAAUUUCACCAACCACUCUUGGAGAAAAAAAUCCAAUUUUUCAAAGUGAUUCUGCUGGAAUGAUAUCCACAUGCCUUUAAUUUUAAUUACUGCAGAUGACGUUUACCAUAUUUACUAACGUCCCUACCUCCCAAACCUAUCCUACAAGCUAGUUACUCUCGCCUGGAAACAAAAAAAUA